rnacentral:rRNA from 1 species
AACAAGCCACGGCUAACUACGUGCCAGCAGCCGCGGUAAUACGUAGGUGGCGAGCGUUGUCCGGAAUUACUGGGUGUAAAGGGCGUGUAGGCGGGGAUGUAAGUCGGAUGUGAAAUUCCAUGGCUUAACUGUGGGACUGCAUCUGAAACUAUGUUUCUUGAGUGCUGGAGAGGGAAGCGGAAUUCCUAGUGUAGCGGUGAAAUGCGUAGAUAUUAGGAGGAACACCAGUGGCGAAGGCGGCUUUCUGGACAGUAACUGACGCUGAGGCGCGAAAGCGUGGGGAGCAAACAGGAUUAGAUACCCUGGUAGUCCACGCUGUAAACGAUGGAUACUAGGUGUAGGAGGUAUCGACCCCUCCUGUGCCGCAGUUAACACA